rnacentral:ncRNA from 1 species
AUGGUAGAGGUGCGGUAGUCAUCAGUAGUGUCCAGCGUGGGUCUUACAGCCCGGGCACGAAAGGGAACGCCGCCGAAGUAAAACCGCUUUGUAAGGGGCGUUUUUGCUGGGCCGUCAGAGAACAUCUGCCGGACUGUCACGUUUAUGUGGAGCGCUAUCGUA